CUUCGUUCUCGGGGCGGGGUGUAAUUCCCCACCGGCGGUAAAGACUUUACAUAAGUUAAAUUCUAAGCCCGCGAGCGCCUUCAAGAAACUUUUCUUUUAGGGUCAGCAGAUCUGGUGUAAUUCCAGAGCCGACGGUUAUAGUCCGGAUGAUAGAGAGCGCGU
rnacentral:ncRNA from 2 species